AAAUGUCAAUACUAGUAUCUCUCUCACUAGUAGACAAUCCUCAAACCCUUGACAACUCCACAACAUCCUGCUUCCCUAUCUACUUGUUACCUCCUUGCAAACUUAUCUACUGUCAGUUCUCUCUCACCAGAAUAAGACCCAUGAAGACAAAAGUGGUUUUGUUUUGCUUUACUCCAGCUAUAAACUUAUGGCCUAACACAGUUUCUAAUAAACAGUUUUAGAAUAAUGAUCCAAGAGUUAUACCAACUAUUUAAGGUCCACAAAUUACUCUGGUUUGGAAUAGACUUCAUAAAAAAAACUAAGAUAAAGUGUAAGAGCAAACAAAAAUUAAACAUUUUGUUUUCACAUUUAUAAUACUUAGAGUAAGUUACAACAGUUGGAAGGACAGAAUUGGCAAGUAAAAAAUAACUCAAUGUUUAUUAUAAAAUGAACAUAAAAGAGGGCGAACGUGUGCCCUCAAGUGAUAGAAUGCCUGCCUAGCAAACACAAAGUCUAGAGUUCAAAUUCAAGUACUAAAGAAAAAUAAAUCCCAAGGCUAUAUUACUUUCCCCGUCCUCCCACUUAAAAUACAGUAUUCUGAAACUUUUAUUUCCAUUACAAAUUAGUGAAGAGCCUGUAUUGAGGUAUAGAUAAUAUACUUACCAACUUACUCCUGAAAAGAAGCAGAGACUAUUUCCUGUGCAUUGUAAAUAAUUUUCAGUUAACAGAACAUGUUUUGCACUGUCAGAAGUUUCCAGCAUAAAACAAACAAGAGGGCUAUUCUCAUUCAUUAACAGGAGUUUGACAACCAAUCAACAGGUCAGCAAGAGGCCCUGGGGCAGUAACUGUUCUGUACCUCUUGCCUAUGUUAACUACUUAAUAAUAUGUAGUUGAAGGCGUGAUUAAGCCAAAAAAAUAAUGACCUUUGUUUCUGUAACCUGCAUAUACUGACUCAAAAUUAGUAAUAUGGAUAAGAUGAGCACCAUGAAAUCUUCCUGUUGCAGUAAGAUUACCACAAGGCUGAGAACACUCUUGAGCACCUAAAAAGCCACCCUCAACCUACUCUCAUAGGAAGACUUUUGAACAGAAUCCCCUCUCUUAUUGAGCUGCCCUUUCCAACUGGGUCACCUUCCCAUGUCAUAUCUUAUCUCUUAAUUGGCAGGCUUUUUCUUCACAAAAGUUACAGUAAC